rnacentral:rRNA from 1 species
UGGGGAAUAUUGCACAAUGGGCGCAAGCCUGAUGCAGCAACGCCGCGUGCGGGAAGAAGGCCUUAGGGUUGUAAACCGCUUUCAGCAGGGAAGAAAAUGACGGUACCUGCAGAAGAAGGUGCGGCCAACUACGUGCCAGCAGCCGCGGUGACACGUAGGCACCAAGCGUUGUCCGGAUUUAUUGGGCGUAAAGAGCUCGUAGGCGGUUCAGUAAGUCGGGUGUGAAAACUCUGGGCUCAACCCAGAGACGCCACCCGAUACUGCUGUGACUUGAGUACGGUAGGGGAGUGGGGAAUUCCUGGUGUAGCGGUGAAAUGCGCAGAUAUCAGGAGGAACACCAGUGGCGAAGGCGCCACUCUGGGCCGUAACUGACGCUGAGGAGCGAAAGCGUGGGUAGCAAACAGGAUUAGAUACCCCCGUAGUCC